rnacentral:misc_RNA from 1 species
UUCCAAAGGGCAUGCCUGUUCGAGCGUCAUUUGUACCCUCAAGCUUUGCUUGGUGUUGGGCGUUGUUUGUCUUUGGCCUUGCCCAAAGACUCGCCUUAAAACAAUUGGCAGCCGGCCUACUGGUUUCGCAGCGCAGCACAUUUUUGCGCUUGCAAUCAGCAAAAGAGGUUGGCCAUCCAUCAAGACUACAUUUAUACGUUUGACCUCGGAUCAG